rnacentral:tRNA from 1 species
GCGCGGUUAGCUCAGUGGUAGAGCACUACAAUGACACUGUAGGGGUCACAGGUUCAAGUCCCGUACCGCGCACCA